rnacentral:rRNA from 1 species
AAUGAACGUUGGCGGCGUGGAUUAGGCAUGCAAGUCGUACGGGUCGGUGUAGCAAUACAACGGCAAGUGGCGAAGGGGAGAGUAACGCGUAGAUACCUACCCUCUGGUCGGGGAUACCGCGGCAUAACCGCAAGUAAUACCCGAUAAUAUCUCCGGAUCAAAGGUGUGAUUCCGCCGGAGGAGGGGUCUGCGUUUCAUCAGCUUGUUGGUGAGGUAAUGGCUCACCAAGGCUAAGACGAAUACGGGGUGUGAGAGCAUGCCCCCGCUCACUGGGACUGAGACACUGCCCAGACACCUACGGGUGGCUGCAGUCGAGAAUCUUCGGCAAUGGGCGCAAGCCUGACCGAGCGACGCCGCGUGCGGGAUGAAGGCCUUCGGGUUGUAAACCGCUGUCGAGGGGGAUAAAGUGCAGGUGGGUACUCCCAUCUGUUUGAUAGAUCCCUGGAGGAAGCAUGGGCUAAGUUCGUGCCAGCCGCCGCAGUAAUAC